rnacentral:lncRNA from 1 species
GACUGAACCAAAAAGAACACAGCAUAUACUGAAUAAAAGCUGGAUGUCCUCUUUGCUUUGGGCCGCUUAAGCACUAUAUUUAUUUUUGAGAUUGAAGUAGGGUUGGGAAGAAAAAUGUUCAAAUGGCAAAUUACUGCCCAUAGAUGAUUGCUCCAGCUUUGAGACAGCAGGAUUAACUCCAUAAGAAUUUUGGAGGUCUAUCACUUUGCAGUGCUGAAGAAGCCUGUCGACACCUCUCCUGGCUGUUCUCUGACUGACUGUAGCUGUGAAAGUAAGCGCCCAUCACUCUGGGGGGACUCAUGGAAGAUUUCCUAGAAAGUGAA